UUGCUGCUGUUACUAUUCCUUUUCUUAUCUCAUUGCUGUUUCCAGUAAAUUGCUCUUAUCUUAACCCACGAUCUUUACCUUUUGUGUCUCCAAUUCUGCUCUGCAGUCUGCUGCAG